ensembl:snoRNA small nucleolar RNA SNORA29
CUUUCCCUUUGACUACCACAUACUCUCCUAACAAUAGAUUGUAGUGGCUAUGUUUAUGGGGUAGAUUAUAAUUGCCAUGAUUUGACGAGGGAGGAUUUAUUUGUGUCCUCUACCUAUAUGAAAUGGUUGAACAAAAACAA